AACGAACGCUGGCGGCAUGCCUAACACAUGCAAGUCGAACGAAGCCUUCGGGCUUAGUGGCGCACGGGUGCGUAACGCGUGGGAAUCUGCCCUUGGGUUCGGAAUAACAGUUAGAAAUGACUGCUAAUACCGGAUGAUGUCUUCGGACCAAAGAUUUAUCGCCCAAGGAUGAGCCCGCGUAGGAUUAGGUAGUUGGUGGGGUAAUGGCCCACCAAGCCGACGAUCCUUAGCUGGUCUGAGAGGAUGAUCAGCCACACUGGGACUGAGACACGGCCCAGACUCCUACGGGAGGCAGCAGUGGGGAAUUUUGGACAAUGGGCGAAAGCCUGAUCCAGCCAUGCCGCGUGCGGGAAGAAGGGCCUUCGGGUUGUAAACCGCUUUGUCAGGGAAGAAACGGACUCUGGGUUAAUACCCCGGGGUAAUGACGGUACCUGAAGAAUAAGCACCGGCUAACUACGUGCCAGCAGCCGCGGUAAU
rnacentral:rRNA from 1 species